GAUGAACGCUGGCGGCGUGCCUAAUGCAUGCAAGUCGAGCGAACAGACGAGGAGCUUGCUCCUCUGACGUUAGCGGCGGACGGGUGAGUAACACGUGGAUAACCUACCUAUAAGACUGGGAUAACUUCGGGAAACCGGAGCUAAUACCGGAUAAUAUAUUGAACGGCGUGGUUCAAUAGUGAAAGAGGGUUUUGAUGUCAUCUAUAGAUGGAUCCGCGCCGCAUUAGCUAGUUGGUAAGGUAACGGCUUACCAAGGCGACGUGGCGUAGCCGAACUGAGAGGGUGAUCGGCCACACUGGAACGGACACACGGUCCAGACUCCUACGGGAGGCAGCAGUAGGGAAUCUUCCGCAAUGGGCGAAAGCCUGACGGUGCAACGCCGCGUGAGUGAUGAAGGUCUUCGGAUCGUAAAACUCUGUUAUUAGGGAAGAACAAAUGUGUAAGUAACUAUGCACGUCUUGACGGUACCUAAUCAGAAAGCCACGGCUAACUACGUG
rnacentral:rRNA from 1 species